rnacentral:lncRNA from 1 species
AUGGAUGACGAGGAGAAGAACUGGAGAGCCAAUAAGAAAGCCUCGCUGGCGAAGGGGACAAAUCUGACACGCUCGGAAAGUGUGAAAGACCUCAUUCACAAGUUCUCAGUUUCUGACGGCGAUGUGCUAACCGCACCCAACGGCAGCCCGACACUCGUGGUCAAAAACAACUCUGCUCAAGUAAAUGCCGGAGUGGAAAACAUGACAGAAAGACAAACCCAAAGUCCUGUUCCUGAUGUAACAGUGACGCCCCCUUCUGGACAAUCAGAGAAAUCCGGAAAUGCAGGCUCGGUCCUUCUGCUUAAUGGCCCGGAUUUUGAAUACGACAGAGAAAAGGACAGACCUCCAUCCGUGGACGAACCGACUACCCCAAGAAUUAUCCCUUCGAAUCCAAAAUACCAGCUAUACCUGGGAGCGGAUCGGAUUGGGAACGGUGCCAGUGGACCGGGUGGACCCAUUGGCACUGGACUGAAUGGAACCAUCUCUAAAACAUCUAUAACCCGCCGGUCAAUGGAGUCUUUGGCAUUCCGAGACUUUGAUAGCAGUUUGGACAAGGUUGAGAGUCCUGCCAGAGUUUUUAACAGCCCCUACUCAACCGUCUCCGUAGAGUACAACCCUGUGAGCAGAAUGUCUGAGUACAAGGUUUCUGAAAGGUUGUCUCCAGCCACAUCCGAGAUUAAUUUGUUCGGUCUGAACCGUAGCACGAGCCCUGUGUCCAUGCCCACUCUGCAGGCCCCUCGCUCACGUUUCUCCGCCUACGAUACACUCACCAGAAGACGAGAGCAGCAGCAGGCUCCUCCAACUCAACUCCUUAUGAGGAACAACUUACCUAACAAGCGGGAUUACAUUGAGGAAUUGACCAAACAGCUGGAAAACUGUCAGAAAAGGAACCAGUUUCUGGAGGCUGAAAGUAUUGAGCUGGAGAAAGAGAGGACCCAGAUCCGUUUUGAAAUGCGAGGUCUGCUGGUGAACAACGAGGACCUGCUGCGUAUGAACACUCAGCUGCAGGGGGAGAUGAACAGGAUGAGGGAAAGGAUCGUGGAGCUGGAGAGCAACAACAAUGUCAUGGUGGAGCGCUUUAAACAGAUGGAGGUGGAGCUAAAAGAGGCUCGAGAGGUGAUGGUGGAAGCAAAUACUCAGGAAUAUGCCUUCAACUUCCUGCAGCAGUCGCUCAAGAACAAAAUACAGGAUGCUGAGGAGGCUCUAGAGAAGCAGACACUGCAUGCGCAGACACUGUCAGAGAAACUGUGGCUGGCAGAGAGGAAUCUGGAGGAGCUGGAGCUGGAGAAAGACACUAAGGGAAAGAAAGCAAUGGAGCUUGGCACUACUCUAAACAAACUGGAAACAGAGCUCGCAGAAGCUCUGCAGCAGGCAGCCCAGGCCAACACAGAGCUGGGCCUGCAGCAGAAGCUGAGGAUGGAUGCUCAGCUGAGGGUGGAGGAGCUGGAGGAGAGUGUGCUGGAGAAGGACCAGGAGGUGCUCCGCCUCCAGCAGAUUGUUAACCGCCUGCAAGGAGAGGUGUCUGAUAAGCUGCUGGAAAAGGAGCACAGUCUGGAGGAGGAGAUUCAGCUGAGGGAGAAAAUGCAGCUGCAGUGGAAACAGGCUGAGAGAACAGUGGAGGACCUACAGAUGGAGCUGCAGACCGUCACACAGGCCAGAGACGACCUGACCAAACAGGUCAAACAAGCCCAGGUAAAACACAUACACACACAUAAACUGCAAAAAGUACACUGCCUGGCCAAAUAAAAAUCGCUAUUUGGCUUUAAGUAAGUAAAUGAUGUGGGGUUGAU